AACGAACGCUGGCGGCAGGCUUAACACAUGCAAGUCGAGCGCACUCUUCGGAGUGAGCGGCGGACGGGUUAGUAACGCGUGGGAACGUGCCCUCUUCUACGGAAUAGCCUCGGGAAACUGAGAUUAAUACCGUAUACGCCCGAAAGGGGAAAGAUUUAUCGGAGGAGGAUCGGCCCGCGUUGGAUUAGGUAGUUGGUGGGGUAAUGGCCUACCAAGCCGACGAUCCAUAGCUGGUUUGAGAGGAUGAUCAGCAACACUGGGACUGAGACACGGCCCAGACUCCUACGGGAGGCAGCAGUGGGGAAUCUUGGACAAUGGGGGCAACCCUGAUCCAGCCAUGCCGCGUGGACGAUGAAGGCCUUAGGGUUGUAAAGUCCUUUCGCCGGGGAAGAUAAUGACGGUACCCGGUAAAGAAGCCCCGGCUAACUCCGUGCCAGCCGCCGCCGUAAAAC
rnacentral:rRNA from 1 species